rnacentral:rRNA from 1 species
UACGUAGGUGGCAAGCGUUGUCCGGAUUUACUGGGCGUAAAGGGCGUGCAGGCGGUUUGUUAAGUCUAGGGUGAAAGCUCCCGGCUCAACUGGGAGAGGUCCUUGGAUACUGGCGAACUUGAGGGAUGCAGAGGAAAGUGGAAUUCCCGGUGUAGCGGUGAAAUGCGCAGAUAUCGGGAGGAACACCAAUGGCGAAGGCAGCUCGCUGGGACGGUACUGACGCUGAGGCGCGAAAGCGUGGGGAGCAAACAGG